rnacentral:rRNA from 1 species
GACGAACGCUGGCGGCGUGCCUAAUACAUGCAAGUAGAACGCUGAAGAGAGGAGCUUGCUCUUCUUGGAUGAGUUGCGAACGGGUGAGUAACGCGUAGGUAACCUGCCUUGUAGCGGGGGAUAACUAUUGGAAACGAUAGCUAAUACCGCAUAACAAUAGGUGACACAUGUCAUUUAUUUGAAAGGGGCAAUUGCUCCACUACAAGAUGGACCUGCGUUGUAUUAGCUAGUAGGUGAGGUAACGGCUCACCUAGGCGACGAUACAUAUCCGACCUGAGAGGGUGAUCGGCCACACUGGGACUGAGACACGGCCCAGACUCCUACGGGAGGCAGCAGUAGGGAAUCUUCGGCAAUGGGGGCAACCCUGACCGAGCAACGCCGCGUGAGUGAAGAAGGUUUUCGGAUCGUAAAGCUCUGUUGUAAGUCAAGAACGAGUGUGAGAGUGGAAAGUUCACACUGUGACGGUAGCUUACCAGAAAGGGACGGCUAACUACGUG